AUGGAUUCCCUCACAAACGAAGAGGUAGCUGAUUCUGAGAGUCAAGUGACUCCCUUUGCUAAAGCUGGGUUUUUCAGCAAGAUGUCAUUUUGGUGGUUGAAUCCUCUAAUAAAGGUGGGCUACAAGAAACCCCUUGAAGACAAAGACAUGCCACUUCUAGGCGCCACAGAUCGAGCACAUAACCAGUACUUGAUGUUCAUGGAGGAGCUGAACGGCAAGAAGCAGUCGCAGUCACAAGCCACACCAUCUUUCUUAUGGACUAUUGUUUCUUGUCACAAGCGUGCGAUCCUAGUCUCGGGUUUCUUUGCUUUGCUCAAGGUUCUUGCCGUAUCAACAGGCCCAAUAAUUCUCAAGGAAUUCAUCAAUGUGUCACUUGGGAAAGGGACCUUCAAAUACGAAGGCUGUGUGCUUGCUGGGUUAAUGUUCAUCUGCAAAUGUUGUGAAUCAUUGUCACAGAGACAGUGGUAUUUCCGCACUCGGAGAAUAGGAUUGCAGGUGAAGUCACUCCUGUCGGCAGCUAUUUAUAAGAAACAACAGAAGCUAUCAAAUGCAGCAAAAAUGAAGCACUCUUCUGGAAAUAUUAUGAACUAUGUGACCGUCGAUGCACAUCAGAUUGGGGAAUUCCCAUACUGGUUCCAUCAAACAUGGUCAACAAGUGUUCAGCUUUGCAUUGCUCUGGCAAUUCUAUACUAUGCAGUUGGUGCUGCAAUGAUUUCAUCUUUGGUUAUCAUCAUUAUGAUCGUACUGUGUAACGUUCCAUUUGCCAGACUGCAACACAAAUUUAAGAGUAAACUUAUGGAAGCACAAGAUGCGAGAUUGAAGGCCAUGUGUGAGUCAUUUGUUCAUAUGAAGGUGUUGAAACUUUAUGCAUGGGAAUCUCACUUCAAGAAGGCCAUUGAGGGAUUGAGAGAGGUUGAGUACAAGUGGUUGUCAGCAUUCCAGUUUAGGAGGGCAUACAACGCUUUCCUGUUCUGGUCUUUACCGACUGGGUUUCGGCAGCGACCUUUCUGA
rnacentral:rRNA from 1 species